rnacentral:rRNA from 1 species
AGUGAACGCUGGCGGUAGGCCUAACACAUGCAAGUCGAACGGCAGCACAGUAAGAGCUUGCUCUUACGGGUGGCGAGUGGCGGACGGGUGAGGAAUACAUCGGAAUCUACUUUUUCGUGGGGGAUAACGUAGGGAAACUUACGCUAAUACCGCAUACGACCUACGGGUGAAAGCAGGGGAUCUUCGGACCUUGCGCGAUUGAAUGAGCCGAUGUCGGAUUAGCUAGUUGGCGGGGUAAAGGCCCACCAAGGCGACGAUCCGUAGCUGGUCUGAGAGGAUGAUCAGCCACACUGGAACUGAGACACGGUCCAGACUCCUACGGGAGGCAGCAGUGGGGAAUAUUGGACAAUGGGCGCAAGCCUGAUCCAGCCAUACCGCGUGGGUGAAGGAGGCCUUCGGGUUGUAAAGCCCUUUUGUUGGGAAAGAAAAGCAGCAGGUUAAUACCCCGCUGUUCUGACAGUACCCAAAGAAUAAGCACCGGCUAACUUCGUG